UUUGCUUCGAGGGCGAAUCAUUUCUAGAAGGGGUGGGAGCGUGGUGUUUCUUUGCACCAUCCCUUGUUCUUGCCUUUCGGGAUUCUGUGACUGACUCAUUGCACAUAACACCAAAUGCUUUGAGGACAAAGCAGCAUUUUGAAAGGGCGGCAUGUGGAAGUGUU
ensembl:ncRNA F46A8.13 ncRNA